rnacentral:lncRNA from 1 species
UUGAAAGUAACUUAAUCAAAAGCAGUUGAUAAUAGCAGGUUAAUUACCUUGAGUCUUUGCACUGGAAAAACUGGCUGGGUCACCCCAUUACACAACCAUCUAUUAUGAUUAUAUGAUGACUCAUUAUCACGAAGACAAUCUUGUGCCAUUUAAAUCAGCAGGAUUCCAUUUCUUCACCAGAGAACUAUCUCUAAAUACACACACGCAUGCUCACACACUUCUGAGUUUCCCUUUGUUUAUUUUUGCAGCCAACAAAGUAUGUUUUCGAGGUUAACAACGAAGCACAGGAUAGUACAAGUGGAAGAUCAUUAACAUGACUGGAUAGGAACCUCUUUUAAUUUCCCUUUCUUGGCUUUUUCCACACCCUAGGUGGAUUACACUCACCCUGACACACCUAGAAAAUACACCCAGAUACCAGAAUUGCAAAAUUCAGGAAGAAUGCACUGCACACUGUAUCCAGGCAAGCCAAGCUCACCUAAAAAUGGUCUCAAAAAGCAAAGGGCUCUGACCAUCGACUGAUGGGGUUGCAAGCCCAGCCUGUCUGCAGGAAUUUUUAAAUCUGAAACCACACUACAGAAAUUAUUUUAUAUAUUACUUAUUUUUAAAACUCAACUGUAAAAAUAAGUGUUGCAGGAAGAGUGAGGAAGAGGGAAUUUAAAAGAGGAAGUUGGGACUGAAUCUAUUCGUUCCAACCUCCCUAAGCAAUCCACUUAUUGAUCAGUGCUUCCAACUCAAGGAAUAUUUAAAAUUUUUUAAUUAAAGAAAAAAUUCUAUCAAUCAGAGAAUCUUGAAGGUAGGGGGAUCAUUUACAAUCAUUUUACAGGUGAGGAUAUUGAGACCAGCAGGGAGAUGACCUGCCCAAGCCUGCACAGAUAGCAAGGACCAAAGUUGGGAUGAGACUCAAAUAUGCCCUUUCAGAUGUGCUUAUAAAAACAAGUCAGUGUUCACAUUUACUGUAUUAAUAGGAAUGUCUUUCAGGGGGAGUUUACAGAAAAAAAAAAUAAACCGAAUUAAGUUAUGAUGACUAUAUUUUCCAUUGUUUUCAUUUCCUUAAAAAAGGAAAGGCUGUUGAACUUGUGAGUUCUGCAGUCUAUGGUUUUGAAGCUAAGUUAUUACACACAAGCUACCUUGUGUGAACAUGGAAAGACCUUGAUAUAUUACUUCUUUGUUACAAUCAGCAGUAAGUGCCACUUAGCAUGUCUGGCUACUUACAGAGUGAAAUAAUUGCUUAGGAACCUAGAACUGCUUAUUUAAAGGGUGGGAACUCAAUAUUUAAUUACUGAACCAAAAAGCACCUCAGCUUUACUGUGGGAAAUCUCAUGCAAUGCACUGUUAGCCUUCAGGUGGUUUCUCAGCCCAAUUCUUCAUUACUCUCCAGAAUCCUCUGGAACUUCCCUUCUGUUAUGACAUAAAGGUAUCUGUCUUGGUGAAUCUGGAUCAACAAGGAAUGGCAGAUCUCUAUACUAGAACAAGGCUGAAGGAAGCAGACCAUUUCUGCAAAAUAAGAGUUUAUCUUUGUCAUAAAUACUUUAGGUUGACAUGGUUCUAUUAUAUCAGGCUCGUUGGUCCCAGGAGGUUGCAUUUUUCCUAAAUGUGCGCCGUUAAGAUGGGAUUUUUAACAUUUUUAAUGACCACUUCAAAUUCUCCACCAGCCACGGCAUAGUUGUGUGGGUUUUUCUUUUCAAUUUUGGUAUAAUCACCCAGAUUACAUUUCUCUAUGAGAAACAUUCACCUCGCAUUUUGAAAAGCAUAGAAAAAUUCACUGCCAAGGACUAGCUGGCCAACAGUAGCCCUAGGGAGAUAUAUUUCCGUUCUCCCACCCAGCCUCUCUGCACCCAUCCUCACAAUGACAUACACCAUAGUGGAAGUAACAUAUGACUUAUGGUGGGAAAAAAAAUAACAAAUGAUAAAAUGGGAAGGAGGGCAAGGGGAAAAUAGAGAGACUGCUACCCCACCACCUGAAUGGAAGGGGACCCCAGCACAAGGAGGAGGCUUCAGCUACACUGCACACAUGUCCCCCGGGUGUCUGAACCUGCCAGAAAUCUCUUAGUCCAUUUUCCUCUGGUUGAUAGCACUGCAGAGAAAUUGUUUAAUGUGUGUCUAGGGUA